UUNGCCUAGAAUGUUCUGGAACUCAGCCU
rnacentral:piRNA from 1 species